CCCGUCCCCAGUCUCCCAGGGGUUCUGGAAUGUUCUGCCAGCGGGCGGGGCCCCCCCAGGGGCUGCAGGGCCGGCGGCGUUGGUGCGGGCGGGGCUUACCUUCUCUGUGUCCUCCUUCUUCACGGACUUGAGGUUGGCGCGCAGGUCCAUGGACACCUUGUGCUUGGAGCCCAGCAGGGCGCGCAGCAUGGCGUCCGCGGAGACGCGCACGCGCCGCAGCGGGGGGCGCUUGAACUUCCCGCGCAGGUCCAGCACCUUGAGCUUCAGGUCUUUGAUCUGUCUGCAGUGUGUGCAGGCACUUGGCCUCGAUGUCGUAGCGCUCCUCGUCCACCACCUCCACUUUGGCAUGCAGGUCACGGCACAGGUCCUGGGGAAGCAGGGAGUCGGGAGGGGAGACUAGGAGAACUCAGCCUUCGAACCUUUUCCUGCCCCUCAGCCUGGGGCCCUUGGCCACCUCCCACCCUCAAGGAGACCUGAAGGGGCUGUUGGACCCCGCACUCUGAAUGGAAGCCCUUUGUUUUCCUUUCUGAAUGUACUUGUUAUCGCCAGAAAGUUUUCUUAUGAUAAAAAGAAUAUGUUAGUUGUAAAAUUUUGAAAACUGUAUUAACCAAAAAUAAUAAAGUAAGAAUAUUUAAUGAGAAAAAAUAAAGUAAGAAUACUGCCACCAACUGGAGGGAACCAUGGAUGACACCCUGAUUCACAGAUUGCUGUUCACUCGCUAAGUCAUGUCUGCUUCUGACCCCGUGGACCGUAGCCUGCCAGACUCCUCUGUCCAUGGGAUUUCCCAGGCAAGGAUGCUGGAGUGGGUUGCCACUUCCUUCUCCAGGGGAUCUUCCUGACCCAGGGAUCGAACCCACAUCUCUUGAGUCUCCUUCAUCAGCAGGCGGAUUCUCCACCACUGCACCACCUGGAAGCCUUGGUUUACCGAUGGUCCCUGGUCUAAGGAUGGUUCAACUUAUGACGGUGGUGGUGAGGCACUGAUGCACAUUCAGCAGAAACCAUCCUUGGAAGUCUGGAUUUUCACCUUCCUCAGGAUGACAUGCGGUGCCAGGCAGGGCAGCCCCAUGCUCACGCAGGGAACCAUCAACACACUCAGAGCCAUUCGUACCAGACAACCACUUCUCAUCUUCAGUGAAUAACAGGAUAUGUUCAACUCUCCAUCAUUAUAUAGGCUUCCUGUUGGCCGAUUUCACCCACCUGUGGGCUGUGUGAGUGCCCUGCACGUGUUAAACUGCGCCAGGCAAGCUGUGAUGUGCGGUGGGUGAGGUGUCGACCACUCACAUUCACACUCGGAUAUCUCACCUGACAGUGGUUUAUCAGUCCAUAGCCAUGGCCUAGUCAAAGGAGAUCUGUUUCCUUCCAGCCCCUUUGCUCUGCAGUCACUGAUAUCUACCCUCUUAUCAAUGUUAGGAAAACUUUAAAGCCGUCUGCAGGGGAAGCCAGGCAAGGCUGGAGAAGGGGCCUCCCCACCGUGCUGCCCACCUGCCUGCUGGGCUCCUUAGGCUGGCCUGCGCCCCCCUCCCCGUCCCUGUGGGGCCCCUCUCU
rnacentral:lncRNA from 1 species